rnacentral:rRNA from 1 species
AAUCAACGCUGGCGGCGUGCCUAACACAUGCAAGUCGAGCGACGCACUCCGGAGGGGUAACCCACUGGAAUGACGGAGCGGCGAACGGGUGAGUAACACGUGAGCAACCUGCCCCGCAGACCGGGAUAGCCCAGGGAAACCUGGAUUAAUACCGGAUACCCUCGGGGACCGCAUGGUCCAUCGAGCAAAGGCCUUUGUGCUGUGGGAUGGGCUCGCGACUUAUCAGCUAGUUGGUGGGGUAACGGCCUACCAAGGCAUUGACGAGUAGCUGGUCUGAGAGGACGAUCAGCCACACUGGAACUGAGACACGGUCCAGACUCCUACGGGAGGCAGCAGCAGGGAAUCUUGCGCAAUGGGCGAAAGCCUGACGCAGCGACACCGCGUGGGGGAUGAAGGCCUUCGGGUUGUAAACCCCUUUCAGGAGGGAAGAAAUUGACGGUACCUCCACAAGAAGGGCCGGCCAACUACGUG